ACAGCGCGGAGCAAAAUCGAAUGGG
rnacentral:piRNA from 1 species